UGCGUAGGCGGCUUCUUAAGUAGGGUGUGAAAUGUCCCGGCUCAACCGGGGAAUGGCGCUCUAAACUGGGUGGCUUGAGUGAGAUAGAGGUGUGCGGAACUUCCGGUGGAGCGGUGAAAUGUGUUGAUAUCGGAGGGAACACCAUUGGCGAAAGCGGCACACUGGGUCUCAACUGACGCUGAGGCACGAAAGCCAGGGGAGCAAACG
rnacentral:rRNA from 1 species